rnacentral:rRNA from 1 species
CUAUCAUGCAAGUCGAGCGAACAGACGAGGAGCUUGCUCCUUUGACGUUAGCGGCGGACGGGUGAGUAACACGUNGGUAACCUACCUAUAAGACUGGGAUAACUUCGGGAAACCGGAGCUAAUACCGGAUAAUAUUUCGAACCGCAUGGUUCGAUAGUGAAAGAUGGCUUUGCUAUCACUUAUAGAUGGACCNGCGCCGUAUUAGCUAGUUGGUAAGGUAACGGCUUACCAAGGCAACGAUACGUAGCCGACCUGAGAGGGUGAUCGGCCACACUGGAACUGAGACACGGUCCAGACUCCUACGGGAGGCAGCAGUAGGGAAUCUUCCGCAAUGGGCGAAAGCCUGACGGAGCAACGCCGCGUGAGUGAUGAAGGUCUUCGGAUCGUAAAACUCUGUUAUUAGGGAAGAACAAACGUGUAAGUAACUGUGCACGUCUUGACGGUACCUAAUCAGAAAGCCACGGCUAACUACGUGCCAGCAGCCGCGGUAAUACGUAGGUGGCAAGCGUUAUCCGGAAUUAUUGGGCGUAAAGCGCGCGUAGGCGGUUUUUUAAGUCUGAUGUGAAAGCCCACGGCUCAACCGUGGAGGGUCAUUGGAAACUGGAAAACUUGAGUGCAGAAGAGGAAAGUGGAAUUCCAU